rnacentral:rRNA from 1 species
UACGAAGGGGGCUAGCGUUGCUCGGAAUCACUGGGCGUAAAGGGCGCGUAGGCGGCGUUUUAAGUCGGGGGUGAAAGCCCGGAGCUCAACUCCGGAACUGCCAUUGAAACUGUUUAGCUUGAGGAUGAGAGAGGUGAGUGGAAUUCCCAGUGUAGAGGUGAAAUUCGUAGAUAUUGGGAAGAACACCGGUGGCGAAGGCGGCUCACUGGCUCAUUACUGACGCUCAGGCGCGAUAGCGUGGGGAUCAAACAGG